UAUUGGCAUCAGGAGACAGAAAGCAAUAUAUUUUGAAAUCCUGAAGAUGACAUGCAACAUUUUUGACACUGUACCAAAAGUGGACUAAUAUUAAACAUACUAAUUGUGGAGGACAUGGUCGUUCUAUUGUUAUACAUAUGACGUGUAAAUCCAGAGUCCAUAGUUAUUUUCUGAAUCUUUACGAGAAGAUUUUACUAUCUUUAGCUCUCUUUGACCCCUCACUAAACAGGUUACAAAUUGCAAAAUUAAUUUAGCUAUUUUCAUUCCACCUUACAGAGGAAGCCCCAGUCCUGCGAACAUCAACUUUCCAGACAAUAAGAAGAGGUACCUAUCACUGUCUGAGGGAGGGGAUCCUGAUGAUGUGAACCCUUCCACCAACACAAACAUUUUAUCGAACGGAGGGCCUCCUGAGGAGGAUAUGGAUGCUAAUUCAACCAGUAAGGGGAUUGAGAUCCCGCAGAGAGGAAGCCCCAGUCCUGCGAACAUCAACUUUCCAGACAAGUCAGUGGAACUCCAAAAUCAAGUUGAAAACAAAUUACGUGAUACAUUUUACCUUCUACAAACAGAAG